rnacentral:rRNA from 1 species
UACGUAGGGCGCAAGCGUUAUCCGGAAUUAUUGGGCGUAAAGAGCUCGUAGGCGGCUUGUCGCGUCUGCCGUGAAAGUCCGGGGCUCAACUCCGGAUCUGCGGUGGGUACGGGCAGACUAGAGUGAUGUAGGGGAGACUGGAAUUCCUGGUGUAGCGGUGAAAUGCGCAGAUAUCAGGAGGAACACCGGUGGCGAAGGCAGGUCUCUGGGCAGUGACUGACGCUGAGGAGCGAAAGCAUGGGGAGCGAACAGG